ACAUACUUGGACCACAAGAAACAGCUGUCAGUCAGAAAUUCCAAUACUCAGUUCACCGUCACUGAUACUGUAAAGUGAUGCACGUCAUGCAACAGCACCUUCUGGGUGUGGCCUUCUAGAGACAUGUUCCCUCAUGUGUAAAAUUCAGCACAUACAGCACUAUUAUACAGAAUCCUCACAGAGCUGUGUUCAGAAAUGACUCAACUCUACACCUUACUGUACAUAGUGAGAUACACACCACUGAUUCUCACUGUAGUUACAGCAGGCAGUUUUGCAGAUAAAAUUGGGCCGACAUAUGAAGAUGCCAAUAUUAUAGGAAAAGAAACAGACACUUUUACUCUGAAAUGUUCAUAUGAGUCAGGCAGUGAAUACAUUCGGCUUUACUGGUACAAACAAUAUCCUAACAGCACACCACAGUUUUUAUUGUAUAAAGGCGCAAGGUCAGUUAGUUAUGCGAGCACUCCUACUGACACUCGAUUACAAACAGAAACAUCCAGAAACUCUACUGAACUUACUAUCAGAGGUCUAGAGCUCUCAGAUUCUGCUCUCUAUCACUGCGCUCUAAGAGUAGGAGACACAGUAAUACAAAAACACUGAAAGCCUUUACAAAAACCUAACAAUGGAAUAUAGGAAGCUUCUAAAACCACAGCAGAUUAAAGGUGUUCAUUUGAUCAAAUUGUCAGUUAACCACAGACACAAACAACAUGUGUUGCAACAGAUGCAGCUGGAAGAAAGAUAAAAUAAUUAACACUAACAUUUUCAUCACAGCAGUCUACAAAUAUAUUUACAUUUUGAAUGCUCCAAAAUAUAUUCAAUAACAUUUCCAGAUCUAUUGUGUCUGGUGUUUUCCUGUAUUGAAUUUCCAUCUGUUCAUUGUUCAUUGGUCCAUGUGUUUAUUAUGUACUUGUAUAAACAGUUCCAGUCAAAAGUUUGGACACACA